rnacentral:rRNA from 1 species
UUCAUAUGAUUUUGGCAAUUAUAUGAGUAAAUUAUAUCAUAUACAUAUGAAAAUUAAGAUUUAUUAUAUGUAGAAGUGAAAAAUGUUGAAAUAUUCCCAUAUUCUCUAAGCAUUAUAGAGAAAAGCCAUUUUAGUGAAUGGAUAUAGUAGUGUAAGCUAGCUGUUCUACCGACAGAGGGUUCAAAAACUACUAUAGGUAGGCAGUGGUUGCCGACCUCUCAUAUUGUUCAAAACGUAUGUGUUCAUAUGAUUUUGGAAAUUAUAUGAGUAAAUUAUAUCAUAUACAUAUGAAAAUUAAUAUUUAUUAUAUGUAUAGGUGAAAAAUGUUUAAAUAUUCCCAUAUUCUCUAAGCAUUAUAAGAAAAGCCAUUUUAGUGAAUGGAUAUAGUAGUGUAAGCUAGCUGUUUUACGACAGAGGGUUCAAAAACUACUAUAGGUAGGCAGUGGUUGCCGACCUCUCAUAUUGUUCAAAACGUAUGUGUUCAUAUGAUUUUGGCAAUUAUAUGAGUAAAUUAAAUCAUAUACAUAUGAAAAUUAAUAUUUAUUAUAUGUAUAAGUGAAAAAUGUUGAAAUAUUCCCAUAUUCUCAAAUCAUUAUAGAGAAAAGCCAUUUUAGUGAAUGGAUAUAGUAGUGUAAGCCAGCUGUUCUACGACAGAGGGUUCAAAAACUACUAUAGUUAGGCAGUGGUUUCCGGCCCUCUCAUAUUGUUCAAAACGUAUGUGUUCAUAUGAUUUUGGCAAUUAUUUUUUGUUGUAGCGUGCGUUUAUUUAUUUAAAAUCUGUCCUAGUGGACAAUAAUUAAAUGGUUUUGCGGGGGAACAUUAGCUUAAGGGAUACUAUUGUACAUGUAUUUGUGGCGGGUUUUAUAUGUGUUGUCUAUUGGUGUGGAAGAUCGAGAGGGUGUCUCCUCAUGAGACGUCUGCUUGUUUGGCUAUUGUCUAACAGGUUGGUGGCGAGGUGGUUAGGGUGGUUUUCGAGCCUUUUCAGGUAUCUCUCGCUGAGCCUGGAGAUUUCAUCAGCGACUUGUGGGAUUCCAAGUUCCCUAUGUUUUUUUCCCUUCAAAAACUACUAUAGGUAGGCAGUGGUUUCCGGCCUCUCAUAUUGUUCAAAACGUAUGUGUUCAUAUAAUUUUGGCAAUUAUAUGAGUAAAUUAUAUCAUAUACAUAUGAAAAUUAAUAUUUAUUAUAUGUAUAAGUGAAAAAUGUUGAAAUAUUCCCAUAUUCUCUAAGCAUUAUAGAGAAAAGCCAUUUUAGUGAAUGGAUAUAGUAGUGUAAGCUAGCUGUUUUACGACAGAGGGUUCAAAAACUACUAUAGGUAGGCAGUGGUUGCCGACCUCUCAUAUUGUUCAAAACGUAUGUGUUCAUAUGAUUUUGGCAAUUAUAUGAGUAAAUUAAAUCAUAUACAUAUGAAAAUUAAUAUUUAUUAUAUGUAUAAGUGAAAAAUGUUGAAAUAUUCCCAUAUUCUCUAAUCAUUAUAGAGAAAAGCCAUUUUAGUGAAUGGAUAUAGCAGUGUAAGCUAGCUGUUUUACGACAGAGGGUUCAAAAACUACUAUAGGUAGGCAGUGGUUUCCGGCCUGUCAUAUUGUUCAAAACGUAUGUGUUCAUAUAAUUUUGGCAAUUAUAUGAGUAAAUUAUAUCAUAUACAUAUGAAAAUUAAUAUUUAUUAUAUGUAUAAGUGAAAAAUGUUGAAAUAUUCCCAUAUUCUCUAAGCAUUAUAGAGAAAAGCCAUUUUAGUGAAUGGAUAUAGUAGUGUAAGCUAGCUGUUUUACGACAGAGGGUUCAAAAACUACUAUAGGUAGGCAGUGGUUGCCGACCUCUCAUAUUGUUCAAAACGUAUGUGUUCAUAUGAUUUUGGCAAUUAUAUGAGUAAAUUAAAUCAUAUACAUAUGAAAAUUAAUAUAUAUUAUAUGUAUAAGUGAAAAAUGUUGAAAUAUUCCCAUAUUCUUUAAGUAUUAUAGAGAAAAACCAUUUUAGUGAAUGGAUAUAGUAGUGUAAGCCAGCUGUUCUACGACAGAGGGUUCAAAAACUACUAUAGUUAGGCAGUGGUUUCCGGCCUCUCAUAUUGUUCAAAACGUAUGUGUUCAUAUGAUUUUGGCAAUUAU